rnacentral:rRNA from 1 species
AGACGGAGGGUCCUAGCGUUGUUCGGAAUAACUGGGCGUAAAGGGUACGUAGGCGGUUUGGUCAGUUAGAUGUGAAAGCCCAGGGCUCAACCUUGGAACUGCAUUUAAUACUGCCAGACUUGAGAUCGGAAGAGGAAAGCGGAAUACCUAGUGUAGAGGUGAAAUUCGUAGAUAUUAGGAGGAACAUCAGAGGCGAAGGCGGCUUUCUGGUCCGAUACUGACGCUGAGGUACGAAAGCGUGGGGAGCAAACAGGAUUAGAAACCCUAGUAGUCC